GACGAACGCUGGCGGCGUGCUUAAUACAUGCAAGUCGAGCGGUAAGGCCACUUCGGGGGUACACGAGCGGCGAACGGGUGAGUAACACGAAGGUGACCAGCACCCAGCUCUGGGAUAAGCCUGAGUAACUGGGACUAAUACCGGAAAUGAACUUUACUUGCAUGGGGAUUGGUGGAAAGUUAUUUCGGCUGGGGAUGUGCCCGCGGCCUAUCAGCUUGGUGGUUGGGUGAGGGCCUACCAAGGCGGCGACGGGUAGCCGGCCUGAGAGGGCGACCGGCCAGACGGGGACGGAGACACGGCCCAGACUCCUACGGGAGGCAGCAGGGGGGAAGAUUGCGCAAUGGGCGGAAGCCUGACGCAGCGACGCCGCGUGGGGGAUGACGGCCUUCGGGUUGUAAACCUCUUUCGACCCCGACGAAUUUGGACGGUAGGGGUAGAAGAAGCACCGGCCAACUACGUG
rnacentral:rRNA from 1 species